rnacentral:lncRNA from 1 species
GUGUCCAGGGUUUCCAGGGAGCAGGGGAUCCGGUCCCUACCCACCUUGUCCCCAGAAUCGGAAGCACGGUGCUCUCACAGUGCUCUUAACAAAGCACCUUUUGUCACUGUGUUGCCCUGCGUUGUGACAGUCUGACAUUUUCCUGUAAUUUAUCUGUGUUAUUUCAGCCAAACUGAAAUCGGUAAAGGAGGUUUUACACUUUUCUGGACCAGACUUGAAGAGACUGACCAACCUCUCCAGCCCCGAGGUCUGGCACUUGCUGAGAACGGCCUCCUUACACUUGCGGGGAAGCAGCAUCCUUACAGCACUGCAGCUGCACCAGCAGAAGGAGCGGUUCCCCACGCAGCACCAGCGCCUGAGCCUGGGCUGCCCGGUGCUGGACGCGCUGCUCCGCGGUGGCCUGCCCCUGGACGGCAUCACUGAGCUGGCCGGACGCAGCUCGGCAGGGAAGACCCAGCUGGCGCUGCAGCUCUGCCUGGCUGUGCAGUUCCCGCGGCAGCACGGAGGCCUGGAGGCUGGAGCCGUCUACAUCUGCACGGAAGACGCCUUCCCGCACAAGCGCCUGCAG